CCUGAACCAGCCAAGUAGCGUGAAGGAUGAAGGUCCUACGGAUUGUAAACUUCUUUUAUACGGGAAUAAAGUUACCUACGUGUAGGAUUUUGUAUAUACCGUAUGAAUAAGCAUCGGCUAACUCCGUGCCAGCAGACGCGGUAAUACGGAGGAUGAGAGCGUUAUCCGGAUUUAUUGGGUUUAAAGGGAGCGCAGACGGGAGAUUAAGUCAGUUGUGAAAGUUUGCGG
rnacentral:rRNA from 1 species